GAGUGAAGAGGGAAGAGCCCAGCACCGAAGCCUGCGGCAGUUUUGCUGUUAGGCAAUGUGGUGUGUGGGUCGACUCGCGGGACCGUCACUCCACUCGAAGUCCAGCAUUGAGUAUGGCAAUCACUGGAUUUGGCCCAUAGAGGGUGAGAGGCCCGUACGGGUGGAGGUUCAGAUAUGUGCGACGGUUCACCAGGUCGGCCUCAGAGUCGGGUUGUUUGAGAUUGCAGCCCAAAGAGGGUGGUAAACUCCAUCCAAGGCUAAAUACUGCCACGAGUCCGAUAGCGAACAAGUACCAUGAGGGAAAGUUGAAAAGUACUCUGAAGAGAGAGUAAACAGUACGUGAAGCCGCAUGCAGGUAAACGGGUGGCGUCAAGCUGCGAGCCCAGAGGAUUUAGCUGAUUAGGGUGUAGUGUACGUGCGCCUGGUGCGUCAAAAGACCGGAGUAAGAUGCUAACGGUCCACUCCUCAGUUAGGAGUGGGGUGCGAUCGGUGUGUGCUUGUCAUGUGCCGGUUGUCGCUAUGCAUGCCGGGUGGGUGCCGGAGCAUGCCGUUCAUCUGUUGGGUCACCUAGUCAGUGCAUUUUCUCUGUGGUGAACACCACGACCGGUGGAACUGCCAGUCUGCUGUGAUCAAGUCGUGUUCGUCAUUCACUUCAUUGUGUUUGUUAGUAAUGCGAUCGCAGGUAGAGCCGGUGGACGGCGCAGUGGUGCUUCGGUACUGCCGCGUGUUAUCGUACACUCUCUAUCGCAAAACAAUUGAUGGGUAGACUAAGUACUGUGACUACUUGCUCAUUAAUUGGCGGAUCACAGUGGUGAAAGGGACUGUGCAGAGCACCGGAGUUAUCCACCUCAUUUAAAUAUGGUACUCGGCACGCACGUUACAGGUGCAAUGCAAUCGGAGUACGCCGCUGUUCGUCUGGUGUUGGGCCUGACUGUCGUGUCGCCUGCGCAAAGUAGGUCCGUCAGUGGUUUGAUGCCUGGCGUUUGGCAGUGUGUUGCGUAUUUCGGGUGUCUGUGGUACCGGGGGUGAAAUAGUCAGUGGUGCUGUGGUAGACGAGCUACCCGACCCGUCUUGAAACACGGACCAAGGAGUUUAACAUGUGUGCGAGUCAAAGGGUCCUACGAAACCCCUAGGCGCAGUGAAAGUAAAGUUCACACUGUACUUCUGCACAUGCGCAGUGCAGUGUGGCGAGGUGAGAUCUCGUUGUACUCAUGACACACGCCGCAGACCUUACUGGGCAUUUAACUGGGGCAGCGAGCGCAUCACCGGCCCGUCCCAUGAUGUGGUCAUAGGUUAUUCAAACUUGUGCGUGGAGUGGCAACACAAAGCGUGCAAGGGCCUGUGCGUCAUCGGGGCGGAGCAUGAGCACACACGUUGAGACCCGAAAGAUGGUGAACUAUGCUUGCGUAGGUUGAAGCCAGAGGAAACUCUGGUGGAGGACCGUAGCGAUUCUGACGUGCAAAUCGAUCGUCAAACGUGAGUAU
rnacentral:rRNA from 1 species